rnacentral:tRNA from 1 species
GCCGAUGUGGCGGAAUUGGCAGACGCCUCGGACUUAAAAUCCGAUGGGAUCACCUCCCGUACCGGUUCGAGCCCGGUCAUCGGCACCA